rnacentral:rRNA from 1 species
GACGAACCGAGCGAACGUUGUUCGGAAUCACUGGGCGUAAAGGGCGCGUAGGCGGCCAUUCAAGUCAGAGGUGAAAGCCCAGGGCUUAACCCUGGAAUUGCCUUUGAUACUGUUUGGCUUGAGACCGGAAGAGGUUAGUGGAACUGCGAGUGUAGAGGUGAAAUUCGUAGAUAUUCGCAAGAACACCAGUGGCGAAGGCGGCUAACUGGUCCGGUUCUGACGCUGAGGCGCGAAAGCGUGGGGAGCAAACAGG